rnacentral:rRNA from 1 species
GAGCGCCCCGCAAGGGGAGCGGCAGACGGGAGAGUAACACGUGGGAACGUGCCCUUUGGUUUGGAACAACACAGGGAAACUUGUGCUAAUACCGGAUAAGUCCGUAAGGAGAAAGAUUUAUCGCCAAAGGAUCGGCCCGCGUCCGAUUAGCUUGUUGGUGAGGUAACGGCUCACCAAGGCGACGAUCAGUAGCUGGUCUGAGAGGAUGAUCAGCCUCACUGGGACUGAGACACGGCCCAGACUCCUACGGGAGGCAGCAGUGGGGAAUAUUGGACAAUGGGCGCAAGCCUGAUCCAGCCAUGCCGCGUGGAUGAUGAAGGCCUUAGGGUUGUAAAGUCCUUUCGGCGGGGAAGAUAAUGACGGUACCCGCAGAAGAAGCCCCGGCUAACUUCGUGCCAGCAGCCGCGGUAAUACGAAGGGGGCUAGCGUUGCUCGGAAUCACUGGGCGUAAAGCGCACGUAGGCGGCUUUUUAAGUCAGAGGUGAAAUCCUGGAGCUCAACUCCAGAACUGCCUUUGAUACUGGAGAGCUUGAGUCCGGGAGAGGUGAGUGGAACUGCGAGUGUAGAGGUGAAAUUCGUAGAUAUUCGCAAGAACACCAGUGGCGAAGGCGGCUCACUGGCCCGGUACUGACGCUGAGGUGCGAAAGCGUGGGGA